rnacentral:tRNA from 1 species
GAGGGGAUAGGCUAAUUUGGGAAACCAUUUGUGUCGCACACAAAAAUUCUGGGUUCGAGUCCCAGUCCCUUCA